AAUUCCAAUAAUUAUUUUAAAACCCAAUUCACCCCCCUCUUGGGUUGUCUAUCUGGGCAACACGUGCCAUCAUAUAUUUCAAGUUUAAUCAUAUAGGAACUUCAUUACAUAUAUCACCAUAAAUAGAAGUCUCGAGAUACAUAUCACAUAUCACCAAAUCAGCAACUCUAUUCAACAUCAAUUCAAUAGAAUUACUUAUCAUUAACCGAUUAACACAACUCAUAUCCUGACAACAUUAUUAUUCCGGCACUAGACUAGUCCUGCCCAUGCUCUAGCCUGUGAUAGGCCAAAACACAUACUACAUUUCCUGCCAUGGCCAAUAACCAUAAUAUUGCAUCUCAACCGCAGCUGAUAUCACAUAUAUCAUGUUUCACACUGGUCAGAUAGUCUAGUUACUCCUCUUGUUUCCGAUUUCAUAGUUAUGAAAAAUUCAAUUUACUUAUAGUUAAGCAUAAUUUAUCAUCUUGAUUUGAUUCCGGCAUUGGACUAAUCCCAGCUAAGCUCCAA
rnacentral:lncRNA from 1 species